rnacentral:tRNA from 1 species
GUGGUGUUAGCUCAAUGGCUAGAGCAUCUCCCUGUGGAGGAGAAGGUUGCGAGUUCGAAUCUCGUACGCCACC